GCGCCCGUAGCUCAAUGGAUAGAGCAACAGCCUUCUAAGCUGUGGGUUGCAGGUUCGAGUCCUGCCGGGCGCGCCA
rnacentral:tRNA from 1 species